AGUGAACGCUGGCGGCGUGCUUAAUACAUGCAAGUCGAACGGAAUUUAAAAGAGCUUGCUCUUUUGAAUUUAGUGGCGCACGGGUGAGUAAUAUAUAGCUAAUCUGCCCCUUGCUGGAGGACAACAGUUAGAAAUGACUGCUAAUACUCCAUACUCCUUUUUACCAUAAGAUAAAUCGGGAAAGAAUUUCGGCAAGGGAUGAGACUAUAUCGUAUCAGCUAAUCGGUGGGGUAACGGCCUACCGAGGCUAUGACGCGUAACUGGUCUGAGAGGAUGAUCAGUCACAUUGGAAUGAGACACGGUCCAAACUCCUACGGGAGGCAGCAGUAGGGAAUAUUGCGCAAUGGGGGAAACCCUGACGCAGCAACGCCGCGUGGAGGAUGACACUUUUCGGAGCGUAAACUCCUUUUGUUAGGGAAGAAUAAUGACGGUACCUAACGAAUAAGCACCGGCUAA
rnacentral:rRNA from 1 species